rnacentral:tRNA from 1 species
GGUCCGUUGGUCAAGCGGUUAAGACGCCGCCCUCUCACGGCGGAAACACGGGUUCGAUUCCCGUACGGACUG